AGGCUUGGUCCUGGCCUUUCUAUUAGCUCUUGGCAGGAUUACACAUGCAAACAUCCUCGCUCCGGUGAAGACGCCCUACAAAUCAUCAUGACCAAGAGGAGCAAGCAUCAAGCACGCGCACGCAGCUCAAAACGCUUUGCCUAGCCACACCCCCACGGGAGACAGCAGUGACAAAUAUUUAGCAAUAAACGAAAGUUCAACUAAGCCAUGCUAUAUUUAGGGUUGGUCAAUUUCGUGCCAGCCACCGCGGUUACACGAUUAACCCUAGCUAAUAGAGACCGGCGUAGAGGGUGUUUAAGAUCUGAUAUAAUAAAGCUAAACUCCAUCUAAACUGUAAAACUCUAGCUGAUGUAAAAUAAACUACGAAAGUGGCUUUAAAGCUUCUGAACACACAAUAGCCAGGACCCAAACUGGGAUUAGACACCCUACUAUGCUUGGCCCUAAACCUCAGUAGUUAGAUAACAAAACUACUCGCCAGAAUACUACAAGCUAUAGCUUAAAACUCAAAGGACUUGACGGUGCUUUACACCCCCCUAGAGGAGCCUGUUCCGUAAUCGAUAAACCCCGAUCCACCCCACCCUCUCUUGCUCAGCCUAUAUACCGCCAUCUUCAGCAAACCCUAAUGAGGGUCACAAAGUGAGCGCAAAUGCCAUUGCCGCAAACACGUUAGGUCAAGGUGUAGCCUAUGAGACGGUAAAAAAUGGGCUACAUUUUCUACCUCAGAAAAUUCCACGAAAACCCUUAUGAAAUUUAAGGGUCCAAGGAGGAUUUAGCAGUAAAUUAAGAAUAGAGUGCUUAAUUGAACCAGGCCAUAAAGCGCGCACACACCGCCCGUCACUCCUCUCAAAUAUAUUUAAGGAACAUCUUAACUAAACGCCCUAAUAUUUAUAUAGAGAGGAUAAGUCGUAACAUGGUAAGCGUACUGGAAGGUGCGCUUGGAUAAAU
rnacentral:ncRNA from 1 species